AGAUGUGAGGGCAAUCUGGCUGUGACAUCUGUCACCCCAUUGAUCACCAGGGUUGAUUCAGCCAAUCUGGCUGGCUAGGUGGUUGUCUCCUUCCUCCCUCACUGCUCCAUGUGUGUCCCUCCCGAAGAUGCACACUCUGUCGAAGAGGAUGGCCUUCCCUGAAUAGAAAUGAUCGGUCUUUGGUGGAGGGUAUAGGAGUAGCUGUGCUCCCCUGCUAGAACCUCCAAACAAGCUCUCAAGAGUGUGACUCUUACAGACAGCAGGGAAGCUGAGUUAGGACAACAGCAUGUGAUGUGACAUCAGAGAAGUGUCUGACAGGUC
rnacentral:snRNA from 1 species